UACAGAGGGUGCGAGCGUUAAUCGGAAUUACUGGGCGUAAAGGGCGCGUAGGUGGUUAAUUAAGUCAGAUGUGAAAUCCCCGGGCUUAACCUGGGAAUUGCAUAUGAAACUGAUUGGCUAGAGUGCGGGAGAGGGAAGUGGAAUUUCCGGUGUAGCGGUGAAAUGCGUAGAUAUCGGAAGGAACACCAGUGGCGAAGGCGACUUCCUGGCCCGAAACUGACACUGAGGCGCGAAAGCGUGGGGAGCAAACAGG
rnacentral:rRNA from 1 species